UACGGAGGGUGCUAGCGUUGUUCGGAAUCACUGGGCGUAAAGGGCGUGUAGGCGGUCUGUUAAGUCUGAUGUGAAAUCCCCUCGCUCAACGAGGGAACUGCGUCGGAUACUGGCAGACUCGAGUACCGGAGAGGAAGGUGGAAUUCCCGGUGUAGCGGUGAAAUGCGUAGAUAUCUGGAGGAACACCGGUGGCGAAGGCGGCAUCCUGGACCGAAACUGACGCUGAGGAGCGAAAGCCAGGGGAGCAAACGGG
rnacentral:rRNA from 1 species